GGCUCAGAAUCAACGCUGGCGGCGCGCCUAACACAUGCAAGUCGAACGAGAAAGCCGGAGCAAUCUGGUGAGUACAGUGGCGUACGGGUGAGUAACACGUGGAUGAUCUACCUUUUAGUUCGGAAUAACCAAGGGAAACCGUGGCUAAUACCGGAUAAGCUCGAGAGAGGAAAGUCGCAAGACGCUGAAAGAGGAGUCCGCGGCCGAUUAGCUAGUUGGCAGGGUAAAAGCCUACCAAGGCAGAGAUCGGUAGCCGGCCUGAGAGGGCACACGGCCACACUGGCACUGAAACACGGGCCAGACUCCUACGGGAGGCAGCAGUGGGGAAUCUUGCACAAUGGGGGAAACCCUGAUGCAGCGACGCCGCGUGAGCGAUGAAGCCCUUCGGGGUGUAAAGCUCUUUCGUCAGGGACGAUUAUGACGGUACCUGGAGAAGCAGCUGCGGCUAACUACGUGCCAGCAGCCGCGGUAAUACGUAGGCAGCGAGCGUUGUUCGGAGUUACUGGGCGUAAAGGGUGUGUAGGCGGUUGUUUAAGUUUGGUGUGAAAUCUCCCGGCUCAACUGGGAGGGUGCGCCGAAUACUGAAUGACUUGGAGUGCGGGAGAGGAAAGUGGAAUUCCUGGUGUAGCGGUGAAAUGCGUAGAUAUCAGGAGGAACACCGGUGGUGUAGACGGCUUUCUGGACCGUAACUGACGCUGAGACACGAAAGCGUGGGUAGCAAACAGGAUUAGAUACCCUGGUAGUCCACGCCCUAAACGAUGCAUAUUUGGUGUGGGCAGUUCAUUCUGUCCGUGCCGGAGCUAACGCGUUAAAUAUGCCGCCUGGGGAGUACAGUCGCAAGGCUGAAACU
rnacentral:rRNA from 1 species